AUGACAAUUUUUUUCCCCUUUUCUCAACCUUGGAUCCCCAAUAUUUAUCCAGUCUUCAUCGUUUCCACUAACCCUCCCCUGUUACUGCCUAGUCAUCAAUUUGCUACCCUCACCGAAGCUGCUUCUCCCCUCUCUUUUCUUUUUCUCUCAUUUACAAACAAAACCUGAUAACCUCUUUGUCCCUUUGUCCCUGAUAAGCCAAAUCAAACCAAACCAUUCGACUACUUUUCGAUAUAUUACUAUCAAACGCAGACCCACAAACGUCUCUCACCAAUUCUCACUUCCUUCCUCUCCUCUCCUAAUAUUGCGACUGUGUCCUCUACGCCAAUGAAGAGAAAUUUGUCUAUAGCUAUUGACGUGCAAUAUGUAUAUGAUGCAUGGACGUGCUUGGGAACCCAAAGAUGGAUGAUUUUGUUGAUGAUAAUUCAAGAAUCUCAUUUGGUCACCAAUUGAUACUUAUAUUAGAUGAACUCUAUGAGUCAGCCAAAGAAAGCUGCAAUGGUGAUUGUGUGAAUUUAAAUGAGAGCAACAUUAUAUUGGAUAUUCAAGUGAUCAAUGAGGUCAGAGGGUCUACCACUUUUUGAUAUGCUUAGAUAUAUCCUUAUCAUUAUUAAGCCAUGUGCCUAUGUGUUAACCUUUUCAAAAUAUUUUUUCUUUAGGAACAGCCUUUUCAAAUAACCCCAUAUUCUAAAAGCUGAAAAAUAAGCUAUACCAAUCUGGUACGUAAGCAUUUAAACAUAUUGUUAUCCUUAUUAAGGUAUAUAAGCAUUUAGACAAUUUUGAAAUUUUGCUAUUACUGUUCUGCUUCAAAUAAACCUCAUGUAAGUUCUGCAUCUUGAAGAUCAAGUAAAGAAUACCUUAAGAGAAGAUUUUUUGAAGAGAACUCCAAUGAGAGUCUUCUUUCUGUAAUAAAUCCUGCAUAUUGGUGUUAG